rnacentral:rRNA from 1 species
AUUGAACGCUGGCGGCAGGCCUAACACAUGCAAGUCGAGCGGAUGAAGGGAGCUUGCUCCUGGAUUCAGCGGCGGACGGGUGAGUAAUGCCUAGGAAUCUGCCUGGUAGUGGGGGAUAACGUCCGGAAACGGGCGCUAAUACCGCAUACGUCCUGAGGGAGAAAGUGGGGGAUCUUCGGACCUCACGCUAUCAGAUGAGCCUAGGUCGGAUUAGCUAGUUGGUGGGGUAAAGGCCUACCAAGGCGACGAUCCGUAACUGGUCUGAGAGGAUGAUCAGUCACACCGGAACUUGGAAAACGUCCAGACUCCUACGGGAGGCAGCAGUGGGGAAUAUUGGACAAUGGGCGAAAGCCUGAUCCAGCCAUGCCGCGUGUGUGAAGAAGGUCUUCGGAUUGUAAAGCACUUUAAGUUGGGAGGAAGGGCAGUAAGUUAAUACCUUGCUGUUUUGACGUUACCAACAGAAUAAGCACCGGCUAACUUCGUG